CCUACGGGAGGCAGCAGUAGGGAAUCUUCCACAAUGGGCGAAAGCCUGAUCGAGCAACACCGCGUGGGUGAAGAAGGUCUUCGGAUCGUAAAACCCUGUUGUUAGAGAAGAAAGUGCGUGAGAGUAACUGUUCACGUUUCGACGGUAUCUAACCAGAAAGCCACGGCUAACUCCGUGCCAGCAGCCGCGGUAAUACGUAGGUGGCAAGCGUUAUCCGGAUUUAUUGGGCGUAAAGGGAACGCAGGCGGUCUUUUAAGUCUGAUGUGAAAGCCUUCGGCUUAACCGGAGUAGUGCAUUGGAAACUGGGGGACUUGAGUGCAGAAGAGGAGAGUGGAACUCCAUGUGUAGCGGUGAAAUGCGUAGAUAUAUGGAAGAACACCAGUGGCGAAAGCGGCUCUCUGGUCUGUAACUGACGCUGAGGUUCGAAAGCGUGGGUAGCAAACAGGAUUAGAUACCCUUGUAGUC
rnacentral:rRNA from 1 species